GUUGCUCUAGUGUUGAAAAUAUAUGCCACAGUUUCCAUAUUGGUGAGCGAAGCGAUGCUGGGAAGGGUUGAAUCGUAUUGGUGGAUGCUGGGAAAUGCUAAAUCUUACUGGUGGAUGCUGGGAAGCGUUAAAUCUUAUUGGUGGAUGCUGGGAAGGGUUGAAUCUUAUUGGUGGAUGCUGGGAAGGGUUGAAUCUUAUUGGUGGAUGCUGGGAAGGGUUGAAUCUUAUUGGUGGAUGCUGGGAAGGGUUGAAUCUUGUUGGUGGAUGCUGGGAAGGGUUGAAUCUUAUUGGUGGAUGCUGGGAAGGGUUGAAUCUUAUUGGUGGAUGCUGGGAAGGGUUAAAUCUUAUUGGUGGAUGCUGGGAAGGGUUGAAUCUUAUUGGUGGAUGCUGGGAAAGGUUGAAUCUUAUUGGUGGAUGCUGGGAAGGGUUGAAUCUUAUUGGUGGAUGCUGGGAAGGGUUGAAUCUUAUUGGUGGAUGCUGGGAAGGGUUGAAUCUUAUUGGUGGAUGCUGGGAAAGGUUGAAUCUUAUUGGUGGAUGCUGGGAAGAGUUGAAUCUUUUUUUUUUUUACUGCUAAGGAGACAGUUCAAGGGCAUAAAGAAAAAUAUUUAAAAAAAGCCCGCUACUUACUGCUCCUGAAUAGAGGUCAAAGGAGUGUCCAAAAAGAGAGGUCAAUAUCAGGAGAGGUGUCCUGAUACCCUCCUCUUGAAAGAGUUCAAGUCGUAGGUAGGAGGAAAUAUAGAUAAAGGAAGAUUGUUCCAGAGUUUACCAGCGUGAGGGAUGAAAGAGUGAAGAUGCUGGUUGACUCUUGCAAAAGGGGUUUGGACCGUAUAGGGAUGAGCAUGAGUAGAAAGUCGUGUGCAGCGGGGCCGCAGGAGAGGGGGAGGCAUGCAGUUAGCAAGUUCAGAAGAGCAGUCAGCAUGAAAAUAUCGAUAGAAGAUAGAAAGAGAGGCAACAUGGCGGCGGAAUUUGAGAGGUAGAAGACUAUCAGUAUGAGGAGGAGAGCUGAUGAGACGAAGAGCCUUUGACUCCACUCUCUGGUGGAUGCUGGGAAGGGAUCUCUCUCUCUCUC